AGUGCAAUGUGUGACACAACAGUGCUGAGUGUGACACAACAGUGCUGUGUGUGACACAACAGUGCUGAGUGUGACACAACAGUGCUGUGUGUGACACAACAGUGCAAUGUGUGACACAACAGUGCAAUGUGUGACACAACAGUGCUGAGUGUGACACAACAGUGCAAUGUGUGACACAACAGUGCUGAGUGUGACACAACAGUGCAAUGUGUGACACAACAGUGCUGAGUGUGACACAACAGUGCUGAGUGUGA
rnacentral:lncRNA from 1 species